rnacentral:snRNA from 1 species
UACGUUUCCAUCCGGACUAACCG